GGAUAAUUAGUUUAAUGAUUAAAAUAUCUAAUUUACACUUAGAGGAAAUUGGUUUGAUUCCAGUAUUGUCCA
rfam:Theileria equi strain WA gcontig_1105316255047 apicoplast, whole genome shotgun sequence.